GAAAAAUGUGCUAAUACCGCGUAAGACCACAGCUUCACAUGGAGCAGGGGUCAAAGGAGCAAUCCGGAUAAAGAUGGGCUCGCGUCCGAUUAGCUAGUUGGUGAGAUAACAGCCCACCAAGGCUACGAUCGGUAGCCGACCUGAGAGGGUGAUCGGCCACAUUGGAACUGAGAAACGGUCCAGACUCCUACGGGAGGCAGCAGUGGGGAAUAUUGGGCAAUGGGCGAAAGCCUGACCCAGCAACGCCGCGUGAGGGAAGAAGGGUUCCGGCUCGUAAACCUCUGUCCUAUGGGACGAAGGAAGUGACGGUACCAUAGGAGGAAGCCCCGGCUAACUACGUGCCAGCAGCCGCGGUAAUACGUAGGGGGCGAGCGUUGUCCGGAAUGAUUGGGCGUAAAGGGCGCGUAGGCGGCCUGCUAAGUCUGGAGUGAAAGUCCUGCUUUCAAGGUGGGAAUUGCUUUGGAUACUGGUGGGCUGGAGUGCAGGAGAGGAAAGCGGAAUUACCGGUGUAGCGGUGAAAUGCGUAGAGAUCGGUAGGAACACCAGUGGCGAAGGCGGCUUUCUGGACUGAAACUGACGCUGAGGCGCGAAAGCGUGGGGAGCAAACAGGAUUAGAUACCCUGGUAGUCCACGCGGUAAACGAUGAAUGCUAGGUGUAGGAGGUAUCGACCCCUUCUGUGCC
rnacentral:rRNA from 1 species